AGGCAAGUGUGCUGGAGCUGUAUCAGACUGCAGGUGCAGUGUUCUGCAGGCAGGUGUGCUGGAGCUGUAUCAGACUGCAGGUGUAGUGUUCUACAGGCAGGUGUGAUGGAGCUGCAUCAGACUGCAGGUGCAGGGUUCUACAGGCAGGUGUGCUGCAGACGCAGUUGGAUCAGACUGCAGGUGCAGUGUUCUACAGGCAGGUGUGAUGGAGCUGUAUCAGACUGCAGGUGCAGUGUUCUACAGGCAGGUGUGAUGGAGCUGCAUCAGACUGCAGGUGUAGUGUUCUACAGGCAGGUGUGAUGGAGCUGUAUCAGAAUGCAGGUGUAGUGUUCUGCAGGCAGGUGUGCUGCAGACGCAGUUGGAUCAGACUUCAGGAGCCGAGCUCAGAGCACGGCUCCUGGGCGAGACGCAGGUGUGCAGGCUGGGGCAGGUGGGCGGAUUCGAGGCUAUAAUCAUUGGCCAGGUCACAGAGAGGCCUCUGAAUGAGUGACAGGCCUCAGAUGCACUCCGAUAUCAGCACAGACCGUGAUCUUCAGCGCCCCCUAUCCACCAGCAGAGGUAAUAACACUCAUACACAUUCACUCUCCCCCCUCCCCCUCCUAAAAUCCCCUAUCCCCCACCCCAAUACACCCACCCACUGAGGCCCCUGAAUGCUCCCAUCUAACACUGAAUACUACAGUCUCUCUAAUGAACCAGCAACUUGUGCAUAAACUAACUUGCAUUAAACAGUACAGUUACCAAUAA